AUUACACAUUAAAAUAUGCCGGCUUCGGCUGGAUUAUUUUUAUCACCCUUGUCUUUUGCGCACUUGUUGUUUCCUGGGCGGGUUCGCCCGCCACCAGGACCACACCAUAAACCUUUUUUAUGCAGUUGCAAUCAGCGUCAGUAUAACAAAUGUAAAUCAUUUACAACUUUCAACAACGGAUCUCUUGGUUCUGGCAUCAAUGAAGAACGCACCGAAAUGCCAUACGUAAUGUGAAUUGCAGAAUUCAGUGAAUCAUCAAAUCUUUGAACGCACAUUGCGCCCUUUGGUAUUCCAAAGGGCAUGCCUGUUCUAGCGUCAUUUGUACCUUCAAGCUUUGCUUGGUGUUGGGCGUCUUUUUGUCUUUGGCCUCGCCCAAAGAAUCCCCAUAAAACCAUUGGCAACCGGCCUACUGGUUUCGCAGCGCAGCACAUUUUUGCGCUUGCAAUCAGCAAAAAGGACGGCAAUCCAUCAAGACUACAUUUUUACGUUUGACCUCGGAUCAAGUAGGGAUACCCGCUGAACUUAAGCAUAUCAAUAAACGGAGGAAA
rnacentral:rRNA from 1 species